rnacentral:rRNA from 1 species
CCUACGGGGUGCAGCAGUGGGGGAUAUUGCACAAUGGGGGAAACCCUGAUGCAGCGACGCCGCGUGUGGGAAGACGGUCCUCUGGAUUGUAAACUACUGUCCCCAGGGACGAAGCUGACGGUACCUGGGGAGAAAGCUCCGGCGAACUACGUGCCAGCAGCCGCGGUAAUACGUAGGGGCCGAGCGUUGUCCGGAAUUACUGGGUGUAAGGGGAGCGUAGGCGGGGAGGCAAGUCGGUGGUCAAAACUAGCGGCUCAACUGGUAGCCGCACGCAAAACUGGAGCUCUUGAGUGAAGUAGAGGCAGGCGGAAUGCCUAGUGUAGCGGUGAAAUGCGUAGAUAUUAGGAGGAACACCAGUGGCGAAGGCGGCCUGCUGGGCUUUUACUGACGCUGAGGCUCGAAAGUGUGGGGAGCAAACAGGAUUAGAUACCCCUGUAGUC